rnacentral:rRNA from 1 species
UACAGAGGUCCCAAGCGUUGUUCGGAUUCACUGGGCGUAAAGGGUGCGUAGGUGGUGGGGUAAGUCGGAUGUGAAAGCUCGGAGCUCAACUCCGAAAUGGCAUUGGAAACUACCCUGCUAGAGGAUUGGAGGGGGGACUGGAAUACUUGGUGUAGCAGUGAAAUGCGUAGAUAUCAAGUGGAACACCAGUGGCGAAGGCGAGUCCCUGGACAAUACCUGACACUGGCACGAAAGCUAGGGGAGCAAACAGG